rnacentral:rRNA from 1 species
CCUACGGGUGGCAGCAGUGAGGAAUAUUGGUCAUUGGGCGCGAGCCUGAACCAGCCAAGUAGCGUGAAGGAUGACUGCCCUACGGGUUGUAAACUUCUUUUAUAAAGGACUAAAGUGAGGCACGUGUGCCUUUUUGUCUGUACUUUAUGAAUAAGGAUCGCCUAACUCCGUGCCAGCAGCCGCGGUAAUACGGAGUAUCCGAGCUUUAUCCGGAUUUAUUGGGUUUAACGGGAGCGUAGAAGGGUUGUCAAGUCAGUUGUGAAAGUUUGCGGCUCAACCGUAAGAUUGCAAUUGAUACUGGCAGCCUUGAGUACAGUUGAGGUAGGCGGAAUUCGUGGUGUAGCGGUGAAAUGCUUAGAUAUCACGAAGAACUCCGAUUGCGAAGGCAGCUUACUAAACUGCCACUGACAUUGAUGCUCGAAAGUGUGGGUAUCAAACAGGAUUAGAUACCCCAGUAGUC